rnacentral:rRNA from 1 species
GGAUAACCUGCCCUAUUGUCUGGAAUAACCUCGGGAAGCUGAGAACAAGGCCGGAUAGCCCACAAUGCCUGGAACGGUUUGUGGGUGAAGAUAGGAUGGGUCUGCGGCGUAUCAGGUUGUAGGGGGUGUAAUGGACCUCCUAGCCAUCGACGCGUACGGGUGUUGGGAGACAUAGCCCGGAGAUGGAUUCUGAGACACGAAUCCAGACCCUACGGGGUGCAGCAGGCGCGAAAACUUCACACUGCAGGAAACUGUGAUGAGGGAACUCCAAGUGCUAUCACUAUGUGGUAGCUUUUCUUGACUAUUAAUCGGUCAUGGAAUAAGGGCUGGGAAAGACCGGUGCCAGCCGCCGCGGUAAUACCGGCAGCUCAAGUGGUCGUCGCUUUUAUUGGGCCUAAAACGUCCGUAGCCUGUUUGGUAAAUCUGUGGGUAAAUCAACCAGCUUAACUGGUUGAAUUCUGCAGAGACUGCCAGACUAGGGACCGGGAGAGGUGUGGGGUACUCUAGGGGUAGGGGUAAAAUCCUGUCAUCCUUAGAGGACCACCAGUUGCGAAGGCGCCACACUGGAACGGAUCCGACGGUCAGGGACGAAGCCUAGGGGCACGAACCGGAUUAGAUACCCGGGUAGUCCUAGGUGUAAACGCUGUGAACUUGGUGUCGGGGAUCCGUAAUGGGUCCUCGGUGCCGGAGUGAAGAUGUUAAGUUCACUGCCUGGGGAGUACGGUCGCAAGGCUGAAACUU